UACGUAGGGUGCAAGCGUUGUCCGGAAUUAUUGGGCGUAAAGAGCUCGUAGGCGGUUCGGUAAGUCGGGUGUGAAACCUCCAGGCUCAACCUGAGUCGCCACUCGAUACUGCUGUGACUAGAGUCCGGUAGGGGAGCGUGGAAUUCCUGGUGUAGCGGUGAAAUGCGCAGAUAUCAGGAGGAACACCAGCGGCGAAGGAGGCGCUCUGGGCCGGAACUGACGCUGAGGAGCGAAAGCGUGGGUAGCAAACAGG
rnacentral:rRNA from 1 species